rnacentral:rRNA from 1 species
GUGGGGAAUAUUGGACAAUGGGCGAAAGCCUGAUCCAGCCAUGCCGCGUGUGUGAAGAAGGUCUUCGGAUUGUAAAGCACUUUAAGUUGGGAGGAAGGGCAGUAAGUUAAUACCUUGCUGUUUUGACGUUACCGACAGAAUAAGCACCGGCUAACUACGUGCCAGCAGCCGCGGUAAUACGUAGGGUGCAAGCGUUAAUCGGAAUUACUGGGCGUAAAGCGCGCGUAGGUGGUUCAGCAAGUUGGAGGUGAAAUCCCCGGGCUCAACCUGGGAACUGCCUCCAAAACUACUGAGCUAGAGUACGGUAGAGGGUAGUGGAAUUUCCUGUGUAGCGGUGAAAUGCGUAGAUAUAGGAAGGAACACCAGUGGCGAAGGCGACUACCUGGACUGAUACUGACACUGAGGUGCGAAAGCGUGGGGAGCAAACAGGAUUAGAAACCCCUGUAGUCC